AUGAACGCUAGCGACAGGCUUAACACAUGCAAGUCGAGGGGCAGCACAGGUAGCAAUACCGGGUGGCGACCGGCGCACGGGUGAGUAACGCGUAUGCAACUUGCCUAUCAGAGGGGGAUAACCCGGCGAAAGUCGGACUAAUACCGCAUGAAGCAGGGAUCCCGCAUGGGAAUAUUUGCUAAAGAUUCAUCGCUGAUAGAUAGGCAUGCGUUCCAUUAGGCAGUUGGCGGGGUAACGGCCCACCAAACCGACGAUGGAUAGGGGUUCUGAGAGGAAGGUCCCCCACAUUGGUACUGAGACACGGACCAAACUCCUACGGGAGGCAGCAGUGAGGAAUAUUGGUCAAUGGCCGAGAGGCUGAACCAGCCAAGUCGCGUGAGGGAUGAAGGUUCUAUGGAUCGUAAACCUCUUUUAUAAGGGAAUAAAGUGCGGGACGUGUCCCGUUUUGUAUGUACCUUAUGAAUAAGGAUCGGCUAACUCCGUGCCAGCAGCCGCGGUAAUACGGAGGAUCCGAGCGUUAUCCGGAUUUAUUGGGUUUAAAGGGUGCGUAGGCGGCCUUUUAAGUCAGCGGUGAAAGUCUGUGGCUCAACCAUAGAAUUGCCGUUGAAACUGGGGGGCUUGAGUAUGUUUGAGGCAGGCGGAAUGCGUGGUGUAGCGGUGAAAUGCAUAGAUAUCACGCAGAACCCCGAUUGCGAAGGCAGCCUGCCAAGCCAUUACUGACGCUGAUGCACGAAAGCGUGGGGAUCAAACAGGAUUAGAUACCCUGGUAGUCCACGCAGUAAACGAUGAUCACUAGCUGUUUGCGAUACACUGUAAGCGGCACAGCGAAAGCGUUAAGUGAUCCACCUGGGGAGUACGCCGGCAACGGUGAAACUCAAAGGAAUUGACGGGGGCCCGCACAAGCGGAGGAACAUGUGGUUUAAUUCGAUGAUACGCGAGGAACCUUACCCGGGUUUGAACGCAUUCGGACCGAGGUGGAAACACCUUUUCUAGCAAUAGCCGUUUGCGAGGUGCUGCAUGGUAGUCGUCAGCUCGUGCCGUGAGGUGUCGGCUUAAGUGCCAUAACGAGCGCAACCCUUGCCACUAGUUACUAACAGGUAAAGCUGAGGACUCUGGUGGGACUGCCAGCGUAAGCUGCGAGGAAGGCGGGGAUGACGUCAAAUCAGCACGGCCCUUACAUCCGGGGCGACACACGUGUUACAAUGGCGUGGACAAAGGGAAGCCACCUGGCGACAGGGAGCGAAUCCCCAAACCACGUCUCAGUUCGGAUCGGAGUCUGCAACCCGACUCCGUGAAGCUGGAUUCGCUAGUAAUCGCGCAUCAGCCAUGGCGCGGUGAAUACGUUCCCGGGCCUUGUACACACCGCCCGUCAAGCCAUGGGAGCCGGGGGUACCUGAAGUCCGUAACCGCGAGGAUCGGCCUAGGGUAAAACUGGUGACUGGGGCU
rnacentral:rRNA from 1 species